rnacentral:tRNA from 1 species
GAGCCCGUAGCUCAGUCGGUAGAGCAUCUGACUUUUAAUCAGAGGGUCUCGGGUUCGAGAUCCCGACGGGCUCACCA